rnacentral:tRNA from 1 species
CCUGUAGCUCAGAUGGAUAGAGUGUUGGCCUCCGAAGCCAAAGGUCGUGGGUUCGACUCCCGCCAGGCG